rnacentral:rRNA from 1 species
UACCAGCACCUCGAGUGGUCGGGACGAUUAUUGGGCCUAAAGCAUCCGUAGCCGGUCCUACAAGUCUUCCGUUAAAUCCACCUGCUUAACAGAUGGGCUGCGGAAGAUACUAUAGGGCUAGGAGGCGGGAGAGGCAAGCGGUACUCAGUGGGUAGGGGUAAAAUCCUCUGAUCCAUUGAAGACCACCAGUGGCGAAGGCGGCUUGCCAGAACGCGCUCGACGGUGAGGGAUGAAAGCUGGGGGAGCAAACCGG